rnacentral:rRNA from 1 species
UACGAAGGGUGCAAGCGUUAUCCGGAUUCACUGGGUUUAAAGGGUGCGUAGGCGGGUAUGUAAGUCAGCGGUGAAAUCCCCGAGCUUAACUUGGGAACUGCCGUUGAUACUAUAUAUCUUGAAUGUCGUGGAGGUUAGCGGAAUAUGUCAUGUAGCGGUGAAAUGCUUAGAUAUGACAUAGAACACCUAUUGCGAAGGCAGCUAACUACGCGAAUAUUGACGCUGAGGCACGAAAGCGUGGGGAUCAAACAGG